rnacentral:rRNA from 1 species
ACUCAAAUGAAUUGACGGGGGCCCGCACAAGCGGUGGAGCAUGUGGUUUAAUUCGACGCAACGCGCAGAACCUUACCAGGACUUGACAUGGAAGUGACCGGACGAGAGAUCGUCCUUCUCCCGCAAGGGAGCACUUCACACAGGUGCUGCAUGGCUGUCGUCAGCUCGUGUCGUGAGAUGUUGGGUUAAGUCCCGCAACGAGCGCAACCCUCGUUUCUAGUUGCCAUCAUUCAGUUGGGCACUCUAGAGAGACUGCCGCGAAUAACGCGGAGGAAGGUGGGGACGACGUCAAGUCAUCAUGGCCCUUACGUCCUGGGCUACACACGUGCUACAAUGGGCGUUACAGAGGGUCGCAAUAGUGCAAACUGGAGCCAAUCCCCAAAAACGUCCUCAGUUCAGAUCGAGGUCUGCAACCCGACCUCGUGAAGGUGGAAUCGCUAGUAAUCGCGGAUCAGAACGCCGCGGUGAAUACGUUCCCGGGCCUUGUACACACCGCCCGU